rfam:Trichobilharzia regenti genome assembly, scaffold: TRE_contig0010586
AUCCAGAUGAUGAGUCCCAAAUAGGAGAAAAUACGCAUCCUGGAC